rnacentral:rRNA from 1 species
AGCCCUAAGAAAUGAUUUAGGGUAUAGCCUGCCCACUGAUAUUUUCUUAAAGCGGCCGCGGUACUCUGACCGUGCUAAGGUAGCAUAAUAAUUUGACUUUUAAAUGGAGUCUGGAAUGAACGGAUUAACGGAAUUGAGCUGUCUCAUUAGUUUUAUUUUGAAAUUACUAAAAAGGUGAAAAGGCCUUUAUGUGAUAAAAGACGAGAAGACCCUAAGAGUUUUAAUUUUAACUUUUCGUUGGGGCGACGUAGAGUCAAGUAAACACUCUAAUUUAGGAUAGAUCAGUGUUAACAUAGGUAGAUAAACUACCUUAGGGAUAANAGCACUAUCUAUUUUAGGAUUGUGACCUCGAUGUUGGACUAGGAAUUUUUUAGGUUAGCCGCUUAAAAACAAAAUUCUGUUCGAAUUAUAUUUCCU